rnacentral:rRNA from 1 species
UACGGAGGGUGCGAGCGUUGUCCGGAAUCACUGGGCGUAAAGGGCGCGUAGGCGGCUCAUGAAGGCUGUGGUGAAAGUCCGGGGCUCAACCUCGGAUCGGCCGUGGCGACUCGUGGGCUGGAGCACUGUAGAGGCGGGUGGAAUUCCUGGUGUAGCGGUGGAAUGCGUAGAGAUCCGGAAGAACACCAGUGGCGAAGGCGGCCCGCUGGGCAGUGGCUGACGCUGAAGCGCGAAAGCGUGGGGAGCAAACAGG